rnacentral:snoRNA from 1 species
AACCCAUGGUGAGGGCACCGUCUCAAUAAAUCAUUAUACCUCUUCCAUGCACCAUAUAUGGUCUCUAAGUUGAUCUGAACGAAGAAAGAUAUAUCAUUCCUCAACUU